UACGUAGGGUGCAAGCGUUAAUCGGAAUUAUUGGGCGUAAAGCGCGCGCAGGCGGCCUUUUAAGUCUGAUGUGAAAGCCCACGGCUCAACCGUGGAAGGUCAUUGGAAACUGAAAGGCUUGAGUACAGAAGAGGAAAGCGGAAUUCCACGUGUAGCGGCUGAAAUGACGUAGAGAUGUGGAGGAACACCAGUGGCGAAGGCGACUUUCUGGCCUGUUCUUGACGCUGAGGCGCGAAAGCUAGGGGAGCAAACGGG
rnacentral:rRNA from 1 species